GCCGCCGUGGCUCAGCUGGUAGAGCGAUCGCCUCGUAAGCGAUAGGUCGUGGGUUCAAUCCCCACCGGCGGCUCCA
rnacentral:tRNA from 3 species